CAACAAACAGAUUGGAAAAAGGAAGAUAAGUACAUCAUUUUCUUAUAGACUAUCUCAUAAAUUUUAAUGUACACAUACUCUACCUGUAAUAAUGAAAAUAACAUGAUGUCACUGAAUGUAAAAGAUAUCCAUAUCUUAUUUGACCAAUAAAAUGUUUUUUUAUUCCGGAUCUCUAAAGAGUAGAUUCGUACUUCGUCUCCAGCAGUAUUGUUGAAACGUUCGUACCACACUACGUUUCCAUAGUAUUACUUCAGAAAUUUUGUGAACACUGGCAGUAAGAGAAAGAGAUACAAUAUACAUCUUUCAUGAUUAAAAUAUUUACAAUUUCGUUCACUAAUAACAUUAAUGUUAUAUCAACUAUAUGUGUAUAUAUACACAUAUAUAUAUAUUAUUUAGUGUUUCAGAAGAAUGAAAGACGCACAAGCACUGUAUUUGAUAUUUCUUAUUACAAAGUAUUUAAAAAGUAUCUACUAUUCUUGGGACAGUUUCCAAAUCAAUCGCGAUGGAGCAGUAAAUUUAAUGUAACCGUGAUGACAGGCAGUCUAUUGACAUUCUAUUUUCCAGCAUUUGCACAAAUUUUUACGUCAUUGUACGAAAAAGAUAUGGGAGGGAUGUUGGAAGGCAUGCCUGUAGUGGCUUCGGUAUCAGCUGUCUUAAUAAAAUUGCUAAAUCAUGAAAUUUACAAGAAAAAUGUAUAUAAAUUUAUGAAAACGAAUUCUGUGGUAAAAAUGAAAAUCACUAAAUACAA